AUCGGUGCGGGGCGACGGCGGAUGGACGAGCAGGGCCGCGCCUCGAGGUAUACGACGCGCCGACGCCGACAUCGCUGGCGCGGCGGAGAUCUCGCUGCCGAUCCAGGAUGUGCCACGCACUUCCACGAACUCCCAGUACGCGCUGGAUGUGAACGUGGAGAGGGUGGAGGACAUGGUGACGCACCAGCGGCUCCUCGAGGAGGCCCGAUACCUGCAGCACCGGCUUUCCUUGGAGGUGGGCGUCGUUCAGAUUGCAGAGAUACUAUCCAAGCUACAAAUAAAGGAUGGAGGCCAAGAGAGAUUGUGAUGUAGGAUGGUUGCAAAAUAAGAAGGUUUACAAUGUGUUGCAGCAACAGUAGGUGGAACUAUUUAGCGGCUGCCAUUAGUGAGAGGUCCUCUUCCAGCUCUAGACAAAUAUCUUUUGCAUGAUGCAAGGAUGGCCUCUACGCCUCACGACCUAUCACUUUCUUGGGGAAAAUGGAUUGAGCUUGAGAAAGGAAACUAAGAUCUCGUCUCAAGAAAGGGUUCUCUCUCAUAUUCUUAAUUAAUCUGGUGGUGGAUAAUGGCCUACUGCUAUUUUAGUUUUAUGCCUGUGGGAUAUGGCAAGAGAUGAUGGUCUCAUGGAGCAUUGAUUUUACUUGAUGAGGUAAUAAAUUUCAGGCUUUUGUAUCAUCCUCCCUGGCUCCUCCUGAAUAACCACCCGACCGAUUUGGUUGUUCAUUUCCAUGAUUGCACAACCUGUCUGCGAUCCACAUUGGCCUCUGUCAAAAAGUUUAAGCUCUUGAGCAAUGUAUGUGGUUCUGAAUAUACACUUGGUAGUCCACACAUAUUUAAAUCAUCUGGAAAUGAUGGGUUAUACUUCCUCAUUAAGCUUGCAUAAUGUUAGGAUAGGCAUCCACAAGAAAGGACCAUGAGCUCUAACUAAAAUCAACACUAAACUAGGUAGGUAUUCCGAGAACUGAUUUACAUGACUUAUUUUUCCCUUUGUUGGAGAUCUGCUCUUAUUAUUUUCUGUAUAUUCUAUUGAUAAUUCUGUCUACUAAAAAGGUGGGUACUCGUUAAGCAUGUCGUGGCGGAGUGUGUUCGUCCUAAAUUACGAAUAACGAUAUAAAAUGUGUGACCCUGUCAGUUAUCAUCAUGACACAUGCCCUGAUCCUUCAAGAUUUUCCAUUUCUCUUUCCAUGAGAAUGCAUUAUAGAAAUGGCACAUUGAUUGAUUCAUUUUCUAAUGCAGUACCACAUUUAUACACAAGGAGAAGUCCUUAAUUUGACACACAAGAAGGUUAAGAAGACCUGCAAAUUACGAUUGCAGUACAGUUUUAUAUCCCAGUUAGUUGACCAUGCUCUUUUCUGUUUUAUUUGCUGAUGUUUAGUCAAGAUAUCUAUGAUCUCCUAGAUUGCUGAUGUGAGUUUGCUAUUCAGAAAUUUAUAUUUUUUGAUACUAACAAAGAAUCCAGUUGAUGUGUCCAUAGUUUUGUUUCUCUUAGCUAGGAUCUAGAUAAUGUAAAAAUACAAAUCAUUUACUUUUGAUCUUCCAGGUUCAUAGACUUUUGUACUGAGCAUCUUGCUACAUUUUUUGUAUUCAAGGCUUCGGUUAUACCUGGUUUCUUUCUGCACUAACAUCACGUAGAAAUUUAUUUACUAGCACAUUCAGUGUACCUAUCUGGGUUGGUUAACCGUUGCACACGCGCAGUUUUUUCUUUUUCGCUUGACAGCUUUGUGAUUCGGUACCGAUGUUCUGCUUACUGUCCGUUUAUGUUUCACUUAUAGAGAAACGCACUGCUAGCAUUUCCAGAUGUGUACUGAUCUGUUUUGCUUAGCUUUUGUAAAUUGGGUUGCUUUGCCUCGUGAUAUUCUGUGAUGUGUUUAUCAUCAUUUACCUUUUUGUUGCCCAUUAGUGAAAAUGAUUGCUAGCAUCUUUAGAAGAUACAAUAUGUUCAGGUUAGAUUAGCUAUGUUAGGUUAAGAAAUCUCUCCAUUAUGCCGGCUUAUCUCCCUGCAACCUUAACACUUCAUAUCCUUUUUAUUUUUUCACUUUAGCCAGUGAUUCAUGGAUCCUAAACAUUCAGAUUCAGGUACGGUUUCUUCUUUCCAGUUGUUCUGUUUCACAUUGUAUAUUUGUAUCUUUCAUGUACAAUAGUUGGGCAGAUUUUUUUUUUGGAUCAAGGGUGGUGGUUUAGUAUGACAAAAAAAAAGAUGAUCUAUGGCAUUCUAGACUAGGAUACAUAGAUUUCCAGUUAGCAUUGCCACUCAACUGAGCUUAUAUUGACAACAUUAUGUGGCCCAUUCUUUCAUGGUAAACAUAAAAAGAAAAGAGCUAUGUUCACAUGUCAAAUAUGAAAGCUUGCACUGUUACUUCAUCAGAUGUUAUUUCAUCAGAUGGCCAGUGCAGCAACUCUGAAGUAUUCAUGAUUGGUUGGGUUGUUCAGUUUCUCAAAGGAUUUUAAAAUUAUCACAAAACCUUCAGAUUUUUCCUAUAAAAUCUAGCUAGCUAUCCAAUCAUUUUGAGGUACAACCUUAAAAGGAGACAUCAACGAUUGAUCAAGUUGUCCAUUGAUUAUUUGACAGUGAUCAUGCUCUCCCUUCUAUCACUCUUUUAUCAGUUGCAAGGUGCAAGUAAUCCAGUUUAACGGAGGCAUUACAUCCUUGGAUGCCGAGGGAGCAGAUGACCACCAGAGGAAGUAAAAAAGGAAAAAUGGGAGUGUAGCUGGCAAGUUACAUCCUUGCUUUUUUUUUUGUAUGUAUCGAUGAUGUACUGUAUCAAGUCUUAACGUGUCCGAUACCAAUUUUCUUAUUAUACAAUAUAUAUUGGUCACAACUUGUCAA